GAUUAACGCUGGCGGCGUGCAUAACACAUGCAAGUCGAACGAUGAAACUUUAAUGAACCCUUCGGGGAGAAUUAAAGCGGAUUAGUAGCGAACGGGUGAGUAACGCGUGAGUAACCUGCCUUACACAAGGGGAUAGCCUUUGGAAACGAAGAAUAAUACCCUAUAACACCAUAAAAGCACAUGCAAUUAUGGUCAAAGUGAUAGCGGUGUAAGAUGGACUUGCGUCUGAUUAGCUAGUUGGUGAGAUAAAAGCCCACCAAGGCAACGAUCAGUAGCCGGCUUGAGAGAGUGUACGGCCACAUUGGGACUGAGACACGGCCCAGACUCCUACGGGAGGCAGCAGUGGGGAAGUUUGCACAAUGGGGGAAACCCUGAUGCAGCGACGCCGCGUGAUUUAGAAGGCCUUCGGGUUGUAAAAAUCUUUUGUAUAGGAAGAAAAUGACAGUACUAUACGAAUAAGGUCCGGCUAAUUACGUG
rnacentral:rRNA from 1 species